CAGCAUUCAGGGCUCGAACCACCCAGUUUAUAUAUUUGAUUGAAGAAUAACAACAUUUCUGCUAUACUGCAGGAUUGCUGUCCUUUUCCUUUGAGGGAAUCGUGGAACCGUGGAAGAGGCAAGAAGAGACAAAAAUUAUUUGAAGGAAUCUGCAGUUCGUGUGCCCUUACAAUUGUAUUUUACACACACAGUUCUCAGCAGCUUGGUCAGUGUAGUAGAGGACAGUAGAGGAGGAGGAUAGAGAGAAGCAGAGGAGGACAUACCAGAGGGAGAAAGAGAGAGGGAGCUCUGCAGCAGGAUCCCCACCGUGCUGAGCACAGGACUGCGUGACUGGUCUGUGCUGGGUGAGGGGGAGGGGAGGCAUAUCAGUGCAACACAGCCUUACUGGAUGAGUAGCAGCAGUAACACUAGCAGCAUCUCAUUUGUGGCUGCUGGGGGCUCGGUCUCACACACACAGGCGCUCCCAGCGCCACCGUAACACAUACGCAGUGGCAGCCACAGCCGUCGUUAGAGCCUGGGCUGGGGCAGGGACGGGGACCGCUACUGUGACGACUGGAGCUACGGCGAUAGCAGCUGCUGCACCAUGGCACAAGCCGCCAAGCAGCUACGCAAGAACAAGGACCUAGCGGAGCUCGCAGCUCAGGAGCUGAAGGAUAAGGAGGAGGAGAAGAACAAGAAGAGGAAUCGAUCGAGGGACCGAAGACGCAAGUGAUGGUGUAUUGGGCCUGUGGGAGCUGGUGGAGUCAUUGACCGUGUGGUGCUGAGUGCUCUUUAUAGGACCUGCUGCCACACGACUCUCAGAUACACAGACUUCCUCUCCUCCUAGCACCUGCUGGAGCACCGCUUAACCAACCUAACUUUAGAGCUGACAGAGACAGACUACAUACACAUCUAGUGUUGUAUUAUUCCAGAGUCUAUUUAUAAGUGGUCCAGAGUCUAUAUUUAAGUGGUCAAGAGUCUAAAUAUAAGCUGUACACAAUAUAUAAAUAUUUGAUGUCCUCGUUGUUAAACCCUCUGUGUCACGUUCUGACCUUUAUUUCCUUUGUUUUGUCAUUAUUUAGUAUGGUCAGGGCGUGAGUUGGGUGGGCAGUCUAUGUUUGUUUUUCUAUGAUUUGGGUAUUUCUAUGUUUCGGCCUAGUAUGGUUCUCAAUCAGAGGCAGGUGUCAUUAGUUGUCUCUGAUUGAGAAUCAUACUUAGGUAGCCUGGGUUGCACUGUUUGUUUGUGGGUGAUUGUCUAUGUUGAUGGCUUGUUUCAGCGCAGCUCGCAUUAGCUUCACAGUUGUUAUUUUGUUUACUGUUUUUGUAUAGUGUGUUUCAGUGUUCAGUUCUUUCUUUAUUAAACAUUCAACAUGAACACAUAUCACGCCGCAUUUUGGUCCUCCGAUCCUUCUCGCCUCUCCUCUUCAGAUGAAGAGGAGGACGACCGUGACACUCUGUUUAUAUGUUUAAUUUACCUUGGCAUAU
rnacentral:lncRNA from 1 species